ensembl:lncRNA
AUCCCCAGGUCCUUCCACCCCCCCUCCCUCUAACAUACGAUGACAUGCACCAGUCACUUCGUGCAGCAUUGGUCUGCUCACUACCUCAUUCACCAUGGAACUGACGUCAUUCUACCACCUCAUCAGUCAGUUUAAAUAAAAUAACUGCUCUUGAGCCCUUUGUCACUUUAAUCACUGAAUAAGCUAUUUUUUAUGCACUAAAAAUCUUUUUAUCUGCACUGUUUGUUCACUGGUUUGCACUCUAUCUGCCAUGUGCCUUGCGCUGCUUUUAUUUAACCUUAUUUUUAUUUUAUUUUUUCUAUUAUGUCUUUUUUACAUUCCCUUAUUGUAUAGUUUUAUCUUAUAUUUUAUAUUUGAUCUAGAUUUUUAGGCUCUACUGUUAGUGUUAUCUGUAUGCACCGGGGGUCUGAGAGUAACGCAAUUUCGAUUCUCUGUAUGUAUGUACUGUACAUGUGGAAGAAUUGACAAUAAAGCAGACUUGACUUGACUUGACUGUAAAAAUCAUAUCUACUUUAUAUCGGCUGUCGGCCCCCUGUUUACCAAGAUAUCGGUAUCGGCUGUCAAAAAACACAUAUCGGUCGACCACUAGUGCAAAGGGUUAAUGUACUUUGUAAUUACUGUUUGUGGAAAUGUUGGAAAACUUGUAGAUGUAAUUUAAACAAUCCAAUCUAAUUUAUGAAUAUUCUGCCUUUUAUUUACCUGACUCUUGAUCGCAGUCAGAUCAAAACUGUCAGUUGUUUUUAUAUUUAAAAAUGAAGAUGUAAAAAUACAUUAUAUCGACAUGGACAAUGGACAGUGUUUACUAAGAAAGUGCAGUAAACUUGGAAACUUUUAGUCUGGUCAGGAAUGAUGAGUUGUAUGGUUCCACUCUUUUAGGUCCAGCCUGUUGCAGUAAUAUAACUCAAAUAUGUGUCUAAAACAAAUUGACAAAUGGAAUUAUUUUCAUGUCUGACCAAACUUUCUUUUCAGAAAAUGGAUGAAGUAAUGAUGAAAGAAUUGGUGUUGUCAUUCUUACCGGGCCUCUCUGAUGAAACUCUGACUUCACUGCUGAAUGGGUUGCAAGAGCUUAGUGUGGAAAACAAGGAAGACCUUGCUUUUAUACAAGAAAAAGAUAUAGAGAAAUACCUUCGACCUAUUCAGUGUCGAAAGUUACUGAAUGGCUUUCAAGCGAAUAAAAACAGGAACAAUACUCUUGUGAGAAGACUCAGAGAGAGAAGGCCACGCUGUGAGGUACCAGAUGAAUGCAGAGGUAUGACAAGAGGCCCUGUAGAUCAGUAUGGCUGUGUAAGAUGGAGUCCAGUAGAAUUACCUCCUGGCGAAACUGUGGCAUCAUUAGAUGGCAUCAAAAUCAUCUCCUUAACAUCUACUCAGAGGAAGGCAUGAGUGGUGCAGAGAGAGCUGAACCUCUGAUGGAGAAGACAUAUGUCAUCCAGCGACGCUAUCUUAAUAGUGUGCCUACACCAGCCAUUGCAGUGGUUAAGGAGGAAUGGCCUUUUCUCUUUUCACUAAGAGGUAUUUUUACCCUAUUUCAUCUUGUGAAGCACAAGGCUCAUUGCAUGGGUGAAUUUAGUCUCAAUCAAACAUGUUAAAAUGCAAAUCUCUUUUAAAAACAAUUCAAGGUACGCUGUAAAAAAUGGCCUUAUUUUACAUGGAAGUAUGUAUUUUAAAACAGUACACAUGCGUACCGAACUGAAAGACCUGUACCAAAAUUUUCAAUACAAAUAUGUGUACCGUUACACACGUUUACUGAUUUUGCUAUACAAUUUAUUUUGCGGUACACAAAUAUAUCUGCAUAGUACUACUUAAAAGUAAUAUACACCUGACCUAAUGUGAUAAAUCUACAUGCAUGAAUGAGAAACUGAAGAGUAGGGUGUGCUUGAUGUUAAAUAGUUAUUAAGUGCAAUAUGCUGUGAAGAACUCAAUGCUUACAUUCAAAACGUGCAUACAGAAAGCCCCUCUCUCAGACAGCAUGCGUGCACAAUGUUUAAUAAAGAUAUUAAGUGCAAAAAGCA